UAAACUUUUACUUCUGCCUUUACUCCUACUACUCUUUCUAGACUCAUCUUGUAUGUGUCUGUAAUCUCUCUCCGCUCAUCUUUCCCAUCUAUUUAUCAUUUUUCGGAAUCAAUUUGAUUUCCCCAAGAUCUGAAAACCUAAUCAAAAAUUUGUCUCAUCAAUUGAAAUUUGAGAGAUCUGGAAAUGAAAAAGAAGAGAGAAAAGAGAAAAGAGCAAGGAGAGAGAAAAAGAUAAAGAUAGAAAGAGAGUGAGAUGAAGGCUGAAGAUACAGGGAGGAUAGUGACACAAAGUGUGCAAGCUUGAAAAACCGUAAGUCAGGCCCCUUCAGAUGUAAGAACGUAAAUUUGCAAAUAAGUUGUUGAGAUUUAAAAAAAAAAUAUGCAAUUUUUGAGAGAAGAUUGUAUUAUUGCAAUUAAAAUAUUAAAAAGAAGUAUAUUUGAUUG
rnacentral:lncRNA from 1 species